GCCAGACUCCUACGGGAGGCAGCAGUGGGGAAUAUUGCACAAUGGGGGAAACCCUGAUGCAGCAACGCCGCGUGAAGGAAGACGGUUUUCGGAUUGUAAACUUCUGUUCUUAGUGAAGAAUAAUGACGGUAGCUAAGGAGCAAGCCACGGCUAACUACGUGCCAGCAGCCGCGGUAAUACGUAGGUGGCAAGCGUUGUCCGGAAUUACUGGGUGUAAAGGGAGCGCAGGCGGGAAGCCAAGUCAGCUGUGAAAACUACGGGCUUAACUUGUAGACUGCAGUUGAAACUGGUUUUCUUGAGUGAAGUAGAGGUUGGCGGAAUUCCGAGUGUAGCGGUGAAAUGCGUAGAUAUUCGGAGGAACACCGGUGGCGAAGGCGGCAUGCCGGCUCCACACUGACGCUGAGGCACGAAAGCGUGGGUAUCGAACAGGAUUAGAUACCCGUGUA
rnacentral:rRNA from 1 species